AUUGAACGCUGGCGGCAGGCCUAACACAUGCAAGUCGAGCGGAUGAAGGGAGCUUGCUCCUGGAUUCAGCGGCGGACGGGUGAGUAAUGCCUAGGAAUCUGCCUGGUAGUGGGGGAUAACGUCCGGAAACGGGCGCUAAUACCGCAUACGUCCUGAGUGAGAAAGUGGGGGAUCUUCGGACCUCACGCUAUCAGAUGAGCCUAGGUCGGAUUAGCUAGUUGGUGGGGUAAAGGCCUACCAAGGCGACGAUCCGUAACUGGUCUGAGAGGAUGAUCAGUCACACUGGAACUGAGACACGGUCCAGACUCCUACGGGAAGCAGCAGUGGGGAAUAUUGGACAAUGGGCGAAAGCCUGAUCCAGCCAUGCCGCGUGUGUGAAGAAGGUCUUCGGAUUUUAAAGCAAUUUAAGUUGGGAGGAAGGGCAGUAAGUUAAUACCUUGCUGUUUUGACGUUACCAACAGAAUAAGCACCGGCUAACUUCGUG
rnacentral:rRNA from 1 species